CCAGGACUAGCAUCCUUGGUGCAGUCCCACUUACCUUUGCUAGACCUAAUGUCUUCUGGUUCUCAAAGCCCUGACCAAUGUUCACUGAGUCUGUCCACCUUCCCUGGGAAGCAGUACCAGGAAGCCUGCUCCAUAGCUGUCCUUCCUGCUACCUGAAUUGAUGUUUGAUAUCAUCACCAUGCAAAUAUUAAAUAAACUCCCAUUUUAUCACACAAAUGUGAUAAAAGGACUCAUUCACUUAUUCACUGAGUACCUGCUAUGUGCCAGGCACUAGGGAUUGAAGCUCAUAAUAAUAAUUCACUGGUGGUGGAUGGAGCCAAUGGGUACUCAGGUAGGAUGUUCAGACAGGGCAUUCUGAGGAGGGACACAUCAGCUGUAUUCCUGUUAUUUAUUGCUAUGUAACAAACCACUCCAUGACUUCCUGGCUUAAAACAAUGACAACAAUUAUUUUGCUUGUGAAACUGCAACUUAGGGAGGCCUGGGAGAGGGGCAGCAUGGUUCCAGUUUUCAAUAAGAUAAGUUCAAAGUCUUUGAGGACAUGUUUUAUGUUUUAAAGCCAUCACCAGCUAUGACCUAUGGAAGAAAUUAGGCGAAGGGCAUUUCAGGAAGAGACCAGCAUGUAAAGGCUCUGAGGGUGGAAAACAGUAGGUGUGUUUAAGGAAAGGAAAGGGCAGCAAGACUGGGGCACAGGAAGCAGGGUGGGGGCAUGUCUGAGAUGGGGUGAGAAGUGAAUGGGAACCAUAUCAAGCUGUUACAGAAUGGGUGCAGGAGGGUAUUGGAAAACUGAAGAUUUAUAUUCACAUCUUUAAAGGACCACUCCAGACGCUAUGCAAAGAAUGGACUGAGUUGAGGUAGAAACAGAGAAAACCAAUUAGGACAUUACUGGAGUGAUCCCAAAGAGAGAUAAUGAUGGCUUGAACAAGAAUGUUGACACUGGAGAUGAAGAGAAGUAGAUAGGGUUGAGAAAUGAUGGGGAUAAAUGAUUUUACUAAUAGACUGAUGUGUGACUAAAGGAAAGAAAGGCAGCUAACAGAAUGAAGGACUCCAGGCUUUAGGCUUGAGCAUCUAUGUGGAUAGUAGAGCCAUUUCUUUUUUCAGGAGACCGGAAGAGAACAUGUUGAUAUAGUAAAAGGGGUAAAAUUGAGCAGUUAUUUUUAGACAUGUCAAAUUUAAGAUAUAAUAGUGGAAAGGAAUAGAUGGAUACAUGAGCUUGAAACUCGGUGACUUUGGGGCUGGAUAUAUAUCUGGGAAGUAUCCACUUAGGGAUGACUUUUAAAGCCAUUGUCCUGGAUGAGAUCACUUAGGAAGAAACUAAAGUGGACAACAGACUGUGAAAAUUGAGCUUUGGAAAAGGCAACCUGCAAAGGAAACUGAGGAGUGGCCAAAAAAGAUUAGAAGGGAACUAGGGUAUUAGAUGUUAUAGAAACUAAGAAAGGAGGUUUAGAUAAGAAGAAUUGGUCCAAGUGAUGCUUAAGGCUCCUUCAGAUCUGAAUUUCUGUAACUUUAUAAACGUCUAAAAUUCUUUCAAGCUAGGAAAUUCUGUGACUCUAUUGCAUUUUUGGGAAAACAAACUUCCUGAAGAAUCAUUAGAUCUUUAGAGACUAUAAAAGUGACUUCGUAGCAACAAGGAAUUUUGUUUUUUGGUCUAAAAGUAACCAUGGUUAAGGUCAAGCCCAGAACAACAAUAACAAAAAAAGUCAAGCCCAGAACAAAAACGACCUCCGAGGGAAGCUAGGGUGACAAUGUAAGUGGCAAAAUAUAAGUGGAGUAUCUGAUCUCUUUUACUAGGGCUGGCUCAGCCAUAGCAGACCCAGACCAGGGGUUGGGGAACAAAUAGCAGCACUGUCUCUAGACAGGGACAUGUAUGGACCCUAAUCCUCAUUUUCUGUAUUCUUGGGCACUCUCAGAACCUCUACUGCAUGUGUUGAAUUGACCUGUGGUUUGAGAAUGCCAAGAUUUGGACCAAAUGGAGUAAUCUGAAGGCUUGGUGCUGGGCCCUGGUCCAGGGGGCCAGGCAGAUGAUAUCAUUCUUGCUGGUUAAUGUGGAUUGUGUAGGAUGGCGGCAGGCCUCCUUUGUCCUUUAUAGCCCUUGCUACUGAUUCACAGGGUUGUCACCGCACACCCCCCCUCAGGCUCUAUAGCACACAUCAGGAGUUCUCCAGGGGCAGCUGUGUCUAUUUCUGCUAAGGGCUUUUAAGACUGUUACUUUGCAGUGUCAACAGGGUCUUCUAACCAAUGUCCUUUCUCCCCUCCCACUGACAUGGGGAUGCUGUGCUUUCCCAGGUCAGUCUUAGGCUGUGUCUCAGAUGAAAUGGGCAUUCCUGUGUGAAUGUGACUGUUUUGCUCUGCCCAUGUCUUCUUGCCUUUUCUCCCCAGUGGAGGUGGUGUGCAGAAGCAGAGGUCCAGGCAAUAUUGAAAGAUAACAUUCUAUGAAUGCAGUGAUUAUGGCCCAAAGAAUUCAGAAGAAUAUAUGGUUGGGAGAAAUGUUGCUCUAUAUUAACAUCAUACAGUUAAAAAUGAAAAAUGGAUUAUCAUUAACAUCUUCCUUCUGGGUAGGGGUUGUAUGUUUUGGUCAUCAUGAAUGAAGCACAGAAAAAUCCUUUGAAGGAGUGAUUGCAAGCCAGUUGCACAGGUGCCAUGAUGGCUGACACCACAUCACGAGGAAACCAGUCUUAAGUGAAUGACAUUAAAGAACUGCGGAAGCAAAAAAUAAAAGCAUAACAAAAACAAAAAACGAAGACCUAAACCCAAGACUGUAUUGUUCCAGUACAAACAGAUGCCAAAGACCCAUGGCAUUGUGAGCAGUAAGUGUUGCUGUUGUCUCCUUGAGUGAGAGAUAAAAAAAUAUGAGCAAGAACAGAUGUUUCCUGCAUCUUAACAGAGAGACUUGGUGUCUGGACUCUAUGAAAAAUUAUCUCAUAGAGUGAUAGAACAAUAAGCAAAUGUGUAAGUACCUUUUCCCCACUGAUUAAUCUAAAUCUUCAUUGAUAAAUGUUAGCACCUUAUAGGAGCCUGUACAUUUCGAACUAUAUUUUAGAAUCAAAUUGUUUAGAUAAAGUCCUUGCAAAAAUGUUUUUUUCGGGGCUCUUUACAGCAGGAUGGCCUGGAUCAUUGGUGAUCUUGAAAACGCUGUCUGGUUUUCAAAUGUCUUGAAAGCGCACUGGUGGUGAUAAAGGCUUCACUGGAGAAAAUAAGAGGAGUGAGAUGAAAAAGGUAUAAAGAAGAGGUCAUGUUAAGACACAGUGGGAAGACAGCCAUCUGUAAGCCAAGAAGAAAGCCCUUACCAGGAACCAAAUUGGUAGCGACUUGAUUUUGGAUUUCCCAGCAUGUAGAAUUAAGCAGAAACUAUGCAUCUCUGUUUCCCCAAAUACUACAGUACCUGUCAUGGUGGCUCUCACAUGGCAGGCACUCAAUCAAUAUUUGUUGAAUGAAUGAAUGCCUGGUAAAUCAAUGACAUGGUAGGUAUUAUUAUGUUUAUUUUACUUUAUUUUUGGUGAUGCUGGGGAUUGAAACUAUUACAUUCAUUUUAAAGUGGAGAAAAUUGACAGUUAUGAAAAGAUAUUUAAUACUCAAUCUAUGGAUACAAAUAGCAUUUCCUAGGUGAAAGCUAAUUGAAAGUGGACCAGUAUCAAAUAACAGCUUCAGACACAAACUACAUUGAGUUGCUUUAGCUGGUCAGUUAGGAGGGUUGUAUUUCCUCUGAUUUAUGUCUAGUGUCCUCUCUGUAAUUAGGAUCAGAGAUCUGUCAAUCUGUAUGUUUUUUACCUUGUAAUUCAAUACUGUCAGAGUGAGCGGACAAAUACCAAGAUAGAAUAAUUUUGUUGCCAAAGGCAACAUGGGGUAUUAGAGGACAAGUACUUGGCUGUCUCCAGUAGACCUCACAGGGUGGCACUACCUGUGAGCAGGGUCAGGUAUUUGUCUUACAGGUGUAGAAACUGGGUCUUUCAGCACAGUGAGCACAGAUUCAUCUCUCAGCUUUAAAUCUAAUUAGAUAGGCUCAGAGAGCUGAUGCAUGAAAAUAGAAUGCCAAUUUAUUGAUUCAUAGGAGGAUUGGAACUGCCUGUGUCUGGAAUACUUGUCUCUGCUUGCACAUUCUUUCACUGAAGACAGACCUCCAAGGAAGGCAAAUAUCAGAAAGUUGCUUAGUGAGCAUGGAAUCUGAAUGAAGACAGCUAUAUGAGUCAAACAUUUUAUGGCAUUGAGUUGGAAAAGCCUGACACUGCCAUUUUUAUUUUAAGAAGUCUUUCCAAUGAUAAGAGUAUGCAUAGCUAUUGGCUAAGGCACCAUCUUCAGAGGUCAGUUCUUCAGAGGGCAGGGUUAAUGUUCCUUGUCACCCUACUCCUUAUUUUAUGCUUUCAUGUUAAACAACCCUGUUUGGCUCUUCUAAUUGUUUUAUUUGCUAAGCUUUCAGGCUUAUUUUUUUUCUUUAAGAUGACCUUUUUUCUUCUCUGAAACUGUAUUGUGUAGCUGUAGAGCUUAAUUCUCAGAAGAUAGCCUUGUUUACUGUACACUUACCAAAUUUUCCAACGGUCAGAGGGAUAGGUGACUUCCUGUAGUUCUAUCCUACUUUAUUCAAGAGAGAUAUUUGAGAACAUCUAACAAAGACCCUAUGUCCUAUCUCUGCACAAUGUGAAAAUUACUUAUUUUCUCUAUUUACAGAUAAUCUUCAACUUAAUUACCACUUAUUGAUUUUUAAAUCGUCUUAUUCAUUAGUCCUGAGGCAUAAGAUUCCAUGAGGAUAAUGCAAAUGGUAAUCAGGAAAAUGAUGAGGCACAGUGCUUUUCUUUCCAGUGGUAAAUCCUUAUAAAGUUACCCUUAAGUUAUACAGAGUCACCAAAAACUGUCUUGCUUGAUCAUCUGGCUAUUUAUUAUCCAGUAAAAGAUUAGUUUACUACUCGAUGGUUUUAGAACACCCUUUCUCCCAUUUGGAAAUAUUCUUCAGCUCUGAAAAGCCAAAUCAUACCCAUUGUCCUGGGUCUAGUUCUCCACCCUGGCACUUUCUUUUUAAAUUUUAUUUUAUUGGAAUCCUGGCACUUUCAUUGAUGUCCACCUUCAGCUACUACAUCACCUUUUCAGUAUCUUUGCACAACUGACAGGUUGCAUCAUAGGGUCUGCUGCUUUGGCUUGCUUGCCAAUUGUUCACUAUAGGCUGUUCCUACCUUGGGAAACUUAAAGAGCCUGCAGGGCCAAGAUCAUUUUCCCUCUCCUUGUACCUCACAAUCUGUCUUGGCUGGAGCAAACAGCCUGUGUGGGAGGUGUUGAAGUAGGAGUGGGUGAAGACCCCUGAGGCUAAUCUGAGAACAUUUCAUUGAAAGGGAGAGUUUUAACCAGUGUUUUAAAGGUUCUAGAAAAGAAUCUGCUCCUCAGGAAAUUAUACUUUUUUCUUAAGUAUGUGAGGCCAUUCAUGUUUUGCUAAGCUAGAUAUAUAUGGAAGCUAAGUUAUAUUUUAAAAGCUUUCAGGUGACAUGGAAACCACUGCAUAUUA